rnacentral:rRNA from 1 species
UACGAAGGGGGCUAGCGUUACUCGGAUUGACUGGGCGUAAAGGGCGCGUAGGCGGCCUUCUAAGUCGAACGUGAAAUCCCCGGGCUCAACCCGGGAACUGCGUCCGAUACUGGAAGGCUUGAAUCCGGGAGAGGGAUGCGGAAUUCCAGGUGUAGCGGUGAAAUGCGUAGAUAUCAGGAGGAACACCGGUGGCGAAGGCGCCCACCUGGCCUGCUACUGACGCUAAAGCGCGAAAGCUAGGGGAGCAAACGGG